GCCAGUAUGGUGUAGUGGUUUAAACAUUGGACUAUGACUCUGAUGGCCAGGGUUUGAAUCCUGGCUCAGUUA